UCUCCUCUCUCUCACUUAUCACUUGUGUUUUCCCCAAAUUUUCACUCUGUCCAAUUUCCCUCCAUUUUUUCCCUCUGUUUUUCUUUCGAUCUUUACAAAAAUCUUUCAAACCUCUCUGUCUCUCUAUCUCCCCCGUUCUCUCUCCAUCUUCCAACUGCUUUUCCAUUAAAUUCGCGGAACUGACAAAGGUGCAGGUCCAGAUCUUUGAUACUGAUGGUACCAUGAAUGCAUGAAAGCUAUCAAACUACCCUAUAUUGAAACAAUGUACUGUGGAUGUUUCGUCAAGCAUAUUAGGAAAGCUUAAACCUCAAGGUUCAAGCACUCGAGUUAUAUUGUAUGAUCUAGAAGAAAACUUUCUUUUCCUAAGACUAAGGUAAUUUGGGGUAUUUCAUUGCUAGACAAUCUUGUAUCUCUAUACUAUCAAUGGACUGCAACAAAGAUGAGGCUAUCCGGGCCAGGGAAUUGGCUGAGAUGAAAAUGAAACAGAAUGACUUUGAAGGGG